rnacentral:rRNA from 1 species
GACGAACGCUGGCGGCGUGCUUAACACAUGCAAGUCGAGCGGUAAGGCCCUUUCGGGGGUACACGAGCGGCGAACGGGUGAGUAACACGUGGGUGACCUGCCCUCCAGCUCUGGGAUAAGCCUGGGAAACCGGGUCUAAUACUGGAUAUGACUCCAUGACGCAUGUUGUGGGGUGGAAAGCCUUGUGCGGCUGAGGAUGGGCCCGCGGCCUAUCAGCUUGUUGGUGGGGGUGAGGCCUACCAAGGCGACGACGGGUAGCCGGCCUGAGAGGGCGACCGGCCACACUGGGACUGAGACACGGCCCAGACUCCUACGGGAGGCAGCAGUGGGGAAUCUUGCGCAAUGGGCGAAAGCCUGACGCAGCGACGCUGCGUGAGGGAUGACGGCCUGUGU